AAAACUUUCAACAACGGAUCUCUUGGCUCUGGCAUCGAUGAAGAACGCAGCGAAAUGCGAUAAGUAAUGUGAAUUGCAGAAUCCAGUGAAUCAUCGAAUCUUUGAACGCACAUUGCGCCCGCCAGCAUUCUGGCGGGCAUGCCUGUUCGAGGCGUCAUUU
rnacentral:rRNA from 1 species